rnacentral:rRNA from 1 species
AGUGAACGCUGGCGGUAGGCCUAACACAUGCAAGUCGAACGGCAGCACAGUAAGAGCUUGCUCUUACGGGUGGCGAGUGGCGGACGGGUGAGGAAUACAUCGGAAUCUACUUUUUCGUGGGGGAUAACGUAGGGAAACUUACGCUAAUACCGCAUACGACCUACGGGUGAAAGCAGGGGAUCUUCGGACCUUGCGCGAUUGAAUGAGCCGAUGUCGGAUUAGCUAGUUGGCGGGGUAAAGGCCCACCAAGGCGACGAUCCGUAGCUCGUCUGAGAGGAUGAUCAGCCACACUGGAACUGAGACACGGUCCAGACUCCUACGGGAGGCAGCAGUGGGGAAUAUUGGACAAUGGGCGCAAGCCUGAUCCAGCCAUCCCGCGUGGGUGAAGAAGGCCUUCGGGUUGUAAAGCCCUUUUGUUGGGAAAGAAAAGCAGCAGGUUAAUACCCCGCCGUUCUGACGGUACCCAAAGAAUAAGCACCGGCUAACUUCGUG